rnacentral:sRNA from 1 species
GGAAGGAUCAUUAUCGAGUUUUGAAACGGGUUGUCGCUGGCCUUUCACAAGGCAUUGUGCACGCCUGGCUCAUCCACUCUUCAACCUCUGUGCACUUUUUGUAGGAAAAAAAAAUGGGUUUGAAGCUGAUGCAAGUCAGUAGAUGCCUAUUUUCUUUCCUAUGUUUUUAUUACAAACGCUUCAGUUAUAGAAUGUUUACUUGCAGAUAAUGCAUUUAUAUACAACUUUCAGCAACGGAUCUCUUGGCUCUCGCAUCGAUGAAGAACGCAGCGANAUGCGAUAAGUAAUGUGAAUUGCAGNAUUCAGUGAAUCAUCGAAUCUUUGAACGCACCUUGCGCUCCUUGGUAUUCCGAGGAGCAUGCCUGUUUGAGUAUCAUGGNAUUCUCNACUCCUAAAUUUUUGUUAUCAAAAGUUUAGUGAGCUUGGAUUUGGAGGCCGUGUCGGCUCUAGUCAGUCGACUCCUCUGAAAUGCUAUUAGUGUGAAUCUUACUGAUCGCCUUCAGUGUGAUAAUUGUCUACGCUGUGGUUGUGAAGUAAUCUAUGUAUUCAUGCUUAUAACUGUCUCUUCUA